CGGAUUGUAGGCUGCAACUCGCCUACAUGAAGUCGGAAUUGCUAGUAAUCGCGGAUCAGCAUGCCGCGGUGAAUACGUUCCCGGGCCUUGUACACACCGCCCGUCACACCAUGGGAGUCGGUAACACCCGAAGCCUGUAGUCUAACCGCAAGGGGGACGCAGUCGAAGGUGGGAUUGAUGACUGGGGUGAAGUCGUAACAAGGUAAC
rnacentral:rRNA from 1 species